GACGCCGGCCGGCAGGCUUAACACAUUGCAAGUCGAGGCGGCAGAGAGGUAGCUUGCUACCGAUCUUAGCGGCGGACGGGUGAGUAAUGCUUAGGAAUCUGCCUAUUAGUGGGGGACAACAUUUCGAAAGGAAUGCUAAUACCGCAUACGUCCUACGGGAGAAAGCAGGGGAUCUUCGGACCUUGCGCUAAUAGAUGAGCCUAAGUCGGAUUAGCUAGUUGGUGGGGUAAAGGCCUACCAAGGCGACGAUCUGUAGCGGGUCUGAGAGGAUGAUCCGCCACACUGGGACUGAGACACGGCCCAGACUCCUACGGGAGGCAGCAGUGGGGAAUAUUGGACAAUGGGCGGAAGCCUGAUCCAGCCAUGCCGCGUGUGUGAAGAAGGCCUUAUGGUUGUAAAGCACUUUAAGCGAGGAGGAGGCUACUUUAGUUAAUACCUAGAGAUAGUGGACGUUACUCGCAGAAUAAGCACCGGCUAACUCUGUGCCAGCNGCCGCGGUAAUACAGAGGGUGCAAGCGUUAAUCGGAUUUACUGGGCGUAAAACGCGCGUAGGCGGCUAAUUAAGUCCAAUGUGAAAUCCCCGAGCUUAACUUGGGAAUUGCAUUCGAUACUGGUUAGCUAGAGUGUGGGAGAGGAUGGUAGAAUUCCAGGUGUAGCGGUGAAAUGCGUAGAGAUCUGGAGGAAUACCGAUGGCGAAGGCAGCCAUCUGGCCUAACAC
rnacentral:rRNA from 1 species